rnacentral:rRNA from 1 species
CCUACGGGUGGCUGCAGUGGGGAAUAUUGGACAAUGGGGGCAACCCUGAUCCAGCGACGCCGCGUGUGUGAAGAAGGCCUGCGGGUUGUAAAGCACUUUUAGUGGGGAGGAAGGUCUGCGACCUAACACGUCGUGGAAUUGACUUAACCCACAGAAAAAGCACCGGCUAACUCUGUGCCAGCAGCCGCGGUAAUACCGCGGGUGCAAGCGUUAAUCGGAAUUACUGGGCGUGGUGUCUUCGUAGGGAGUUGAAAGCCCCGGGCUCAACCUGGGAAUUGCAUUCGAGACUGCGAAGCUGGAGUGCGGAAGAGGGAAGUGGAAUUUCCGGUGUAGCGGUGAAAUGCGUAGAUAUCGGAAGGAACAUCAGUGGCGAAGGCGACUUCCUGGUCCAGCACUGACGCUCAGGCACGAAAGCGUGGGGAGCAAACAGGAUUAGAUACCCUAGUAGUC